UGGCCAUUUACUUUAUUCAGUUUCUUCUCAAGGUGAGGAAAACUCUUUGUAAAUAUCCUAGAGAAAUAUAGUAGCUUUAUGUUCACACUUUGCAAGUAAAAAAGGUGGAUCAUUCCACUACUGACAUAU
rnacentral:snoRNA from 1 species